UUCUUUUUAAGUUUAUUUCUUCAUUUUGAGAGAGGGAACAUGUGUGUGUGAGCAUGGAGCAGAGGAAGGGCAGAGAGAGAGAGAAGGAGAGAGAGAAUCCCAGUCAGUGCAGAGCCUGGUGCAGGGCUGGAACCAAACUCAGGAACCAUAAGAUGAUGACUUGAGCUGAAAUCAAGAGUUGGAUGCUUAACUGACUGAGCCAUUCAGGUGCCCCACUUGGAAGAUCUGUAAACAGGUUUUCUUUACAUAGGGGAAAAAAGAAAAAAAAAUAUUCCCCUUUUUAACCUUUUUGGGAACUUCUCCAGUUUUUUUCCAGGUAAGGAGCCUAGGAAGCCCCUUCCUCCCAUAUUGGGUCUCAGAGCCAUGCUUCAAGAAUCAGAAAAGCCUCAAGAAUCAUCUAGCCUUCCUUACUCUUCAAUGCUAUUCUUCUCUGAACAUUGAGGUCCUAGAUGCAGACAUUGCUGAAUGCAAGGUGGCUGGAGGCCCUGGAGUAGUCCCUGUAUCUCAGGUGAGACUUAACCUUGGGCCCUGAGGUCCAGGUAGCAUCAUCUUCAUGAAUCUUUAACCCCACGUUAGGCAGGGAAAAUUUUUUUAAGUGCCUUUCACAGAGGGCAGUAUGGUGUACUGAAAAUACAUGAGCUUUGGAUUCAGGCAGAUGCUGGUCAAAAACCUGGCUCUACCACUGUCUGGAUUUAUGCAUUUGGACAAGUUAUUUAACCUCUCUGAGCCCCCAGGUUUUUCAUCACUAAAAAUGAAGAUAAAGUGAGGAUUGAAUGAAAAAACAUAUGGAGGUAAACAGCACAGUGUCUGGCACAUAAUAAGCAUUAGCCAAUG
rnacentral:lncRNA from 1 species